GCCAGUGUGGCAUAAUGAUUUGAGUGUUGGACUAUGAUUCCUGAGACCAUGGUUCAAUUCCCAGCUCAGCCA